UGGGGAAUAUUGGACAAUGGGCGAAAGCCUGAUCCAGCCAUGCCGCGUGUGUGAAGAAGGUCUUCGGAUUGUAAAGCACUUUAAGAUGGGAGGAAGGGCAGUAAGCGAAUACCUUGCUGUUUUGACGUUACCGACAGAAUAAGCACCGGCUAACUCUGUGCCAGCAGCCGCGGUAAUACAGAGGGUGCAAGCGUUAAUCGGAAUUACUGGGCGUAAAGCGCGCGUAGGUGGUUCGUUAAGUUGAAUGUGAAAGCCCCGGGCUCAACCUGAGAACUGCAUCCAAAACUGGCGAGCUAGAGUAGGGCAGAGGGUGGUGGAAUUUCCUGUGUAGCGGUGAAAUGCGUAGAUAUAGGAAGGAGCACCAGUGGCGAAGGCGACCACCUGGGCUCAUACUGACACUGAGGUGCGAAAGCGUGGGGAGCAAACAGG
rnacentral:rRNA from 1 species